UGACUGGGGUGGGAGGGCACGGACCCAUGAUGCUGCUGGAGACGUUUAUCUGCACUGGACUAUUAAGAACUCAUCCUGGAUUUGUGCUACGGAGAAACGGAGGGGUAGGUCUACGGGGCUCUCACAGAGGCUCCGAAACCGAGGAGCUUGAGGACCCGUUCUUCUCCAUCCUGUUAUUUAAUCUUCUCCCUCUCGCUGUUUCACCUUUGCCCCCAACACGCUGUGCCCGUGGAGCUGGGUCUGGGAGAGCAGAUCAGACUUCAGCGGGAGAGACAUAGAUGAGGACGUUAGUGUAGCCAUGCCCAAAAGAACACGGGGCUUGUAAUUGGUGCAGUAGCCCAGGCAGGAGAGAGUACCAGCUCCCAGAGGGGAGGCGUGACUCACUUUGGAAAGGAUGGAGAAGAGAGGUUGAACUCCUGAUUGACACAGGCGCAUCUGAACGUAACUUGAGAGGUGUGGCAGAGCCACGCACGUUUCAGUCAGUUAGAAGAUGAUUAUUGUUCAGUUGAGCAGAGAGCGUGGGCGCAGGUCUGACACACUGACUGUAAGGGAGCAGAAGCCGUUCUCCCACAUGAAACAGAACGCUUUCAUCCGGAUGCAGCACCUCCCACAGUUCCUCUGGUUUCUCCAGUAGACAUUCCGUGCUCCUGGGAUGUCAACAUCUCCAAUUCAACAUGGGCUUCACCUUCACAGCUUCAUGCACAGGGGUUCCAUGCAGAGUCUCAGACAUCAGUUACACAUUGUCUGGUCUCAGCAGCUCUCUCAAGCCUGGGUGCAACUCUCCAUGGCCCCAUAAUUCUUGCAGCCAAUGUUAACACAACUGGAUUUUCCAGAGAGUAGUUUCCAAAAGUGCUCAGCGUGCAGUAAUGGAAGGAUGCAGCCAUCGGAACACAAGAUAGCCAGUCCACAGUGCCACCACAACUUGCCAUUUGGUCUUCUAGAUGUGAAAGCUCCCAUACUCAAGGAUUUCAUCUAGUACAACAUUUAUUGAAAGUGUUAUAUACUUAGCUUUCUACAGCUUUUUCUGAUGCAAUCAAGCAUAAGCGGCCAAAGUUUCAUAUGUUGCAGGCCAAGCUAGAUAGAGAAAAUUAUAUACAUUUAUGUGUGAAAGGUAGGGGGCAGAGGAAUAGGGGAAGAGUUACAGUUGUGUGAAUUUUCCUGAAAAGACAUGAAUGACUGAGCAUCUGCUUGCCCCAGAUACAGAACCAACAUGAGACCAGCAUAAUGGUUUCAUUAAGUCUGACAUGGUGGACCAAUGAGUUUACCAGGGUCACUUACAGGAGCUCAAGUGACUCCAAGACAGCUGCAUCGCUGAAAAGCCACCCAGGAUGGAGCUCUGUGAAUGACUUGCGGGCAAGUCAACACAUCACAGAGUCUCCUCCAGGUACCUUGGCUGAGGUUCUCCCCAGCAGCUGCUGAUGCUUCCCUAACUUUGGGGAGGGGCCCUGUGAAUCUAUUGGUUUCAGGAAUUUCCUGUGAUGUGUGAAUUGUUUCCUACCUGAGUCCCAUAAGCCUCCCUUACUCUCCUGGAGGAGAUUUUCAAUUUGGAAGAAAUGAUUACACAAUACCAUAAACACGCAUGUGUUUUACAGAAAGAGCCCCACUCAGCUGAAUGUUGUGUUUGGUGGACUGCCAUUGAGUGUGUUUCUAUUCUAGUUUGUCUGACAUUGGGGAGGCAAGAUUGACAAGCCUAACAGAAUAUUUCCAACAAGCUUUCCAAGGUCUAGUGGAAGGCAGUGAUGUCCCUUAUGUUCUAAGUCCCAGAACAUUGUGAAUACUCCCAGACACAAAGGAAGGAGCUGCUAACUUGGCCCAGGAGGAGGGGCAUGGAGUAGUCCACUAGGAAGACCAUUCUUGAUGUGGGCCUCUUAGGAUGACUUCAACAUGUUCAAGGGAGAAAAGGGAGGAUUCCAGGGAAAAGACAAAUAAAACGAAAUGGUACCUGCUCACACACAGGAGUGACAAAGAGCAAAUCCCACCAAGGAAAUAAGGAAUUGUAUGUAACAAUGGAAACUGGGAGUAGGAACGUCCUGAAGCAUAAAGGAGCCUGCAAAGUCCAUUGGAGUCCAGGUCAGGAGCUGAGAUUCUAUUAAGAAGAGUGUAGGGCCCUGCGACAAGGAAGAAUUUUACUGUUAGAAAGAUGUCUCCAUGAGAACGACUAAGAUUCAUUACAUAAAUGUGUGAAACUCUCAAACAA